GCCAUUCCGCGUGCAGGAUGAAGGCCUUCGGGUUGUAAACUGCUUUUGUACGGAACGAAAAGGCUUUCUCUAAUACAGGGGGCUCAUGACGGUACCGUAAGAAUAAGCACCGGCUAACUACGUGCCAGCAGCCGCGGUAAUACGUAGGGUGCAAGCGUUAAUCGGAAUUACUGGGCGUAAAGCGUGCGCAGGCGGUGAUGUAAGACAGGUGUGAAAUCCCCGGGCUUAACCUGGGAACUGCACUUGUGACUGCAUCGCUGGAGUGCGGCAGAGGGGGAUGGAAUUCCGCGUGUAGCAGUGAAAUGCGUAAAUAUGCGGAGGAACACCGAUGGCGAAGGCAAUCCCCUGGGCCUGCACUGACGCUCAUGCACGAAAGCGUGGGGAGCAAACAGGAUUAGAUACCCUGGUAGUCCACGCCCUAAACGAUGUCAACUGGUUGUUGGGUCUUCACUGACUCAGUAACGAAGCUAACGCGUGAAGUUGACCGCCUGGGGAGUACGGCCGCAAGGUUGAAACUCAAUGGAA
rnacentral:rRNA from 1 species